GCAGUCGAGCGGAGAUGAGGUGCUUGCACCUUAUCUUAGCGGCGGACGGGUGAGUAAUGCUUAGGAAUCUGCCUAUUAGUGGGGGACAACAUUCCGAAAGGAAUGCUAAUACCGCAUACGCCCUACGGGGGAAAGCAGGGGAUCUUCGGACCUUGCGCUAAUAGAUGAGCCUAAGUCGGAUUAGCUAGUUGGUGGGGUAAAGGCCUACCAAGGCGACGAUCUGUAGCGGGUCUGAGAGGAUGAUCCGCCACACUGGGACUGAGACACGGCCCAGACUCCUACGGGAGGCAGCAGUGGGGAAUAUUGGACAAUGGGCGGAAGCCUGAUCCAGCCAUGCCGCGUGUGUGAAGAAGGCCUUUUGGUUGUAAAGCACUUUAAGCGAGGAGGAGGCUACUUAGAUUAAUACUCUAGGAUAGUGGACGUUACUCGCAGAAUAAGCACCGGCUAACUCUGUGCCAGCAGCCGCGGUAAUACAGAGGGUGCGAGCGUUAAUCGGAUUUACUGGGCGUAAAGCGUGCGUAGGCGGCUGAUUAAGUCGGAUGUGAAAUCCCUGAGCUUAACUUAGGAAUUGCAUUCGAUACUGGUCAGCUAGAGUAUGGGAGAGGAUGGUAGAAUUCCAGGUGUAGCGGUGAAAUGCGUAGAGAUCUGGAGGAAUACCGAUGGCGAAGGCAGCCAUCUGGCCUAAUACUGACGCUGAGGUACGAAGCAUGGGAGCAAACAGGAUUAGAUACCCUGGUAGU
rnacentral:rRNA from 1 species